UAUGGCCAUAUCAUCUUGAAACAACCUUUCCCAUCGAAUCUCCGAAAUUAAACAACUAUGAGCCUGGUCAGUACCUGGAUUGAUGACCGCAUGGGAAUACAAGGUAC